UAGGCAACGCUUUUUACUGAGAAUCUGUCACUUAUGCUGGUCUGACCUCAGGAAUUGUAGAAAGAAAGUUCACUUUCUUCCCUUUAUCCUCUUUUUAACUUCCUUGGUUUUCCAAUUCAUUUCUGCAGGCAUUUAUAUUGGAAUUUAGUGAAUCCUUCAAUAUUGGGCCGGACAGCUGAUCUUAGGCACUACACCAUACUGGAAUAAACAACCUGCUCCCGGCCUCCAGGGCACAAAACAGACUUCUACAUCAAUUCCUAUGUUACUCCUUACAACUAUGAGCAAUUUGUUUCUGAGGGUUUUUUUGUUUUGACUGUACAUCCUGCCUCUGCAUAUGCCAUACAGAAAUGCUAAGAGUGCUGAAGUCCAGCGACAGGAUGAAGUACCAGAACUGCAAGAAGCCGUCCAGGAGCUCUUUGACAUCCCUGCAGCACAGACCAGUAACGGCCUAUGCAAUAGGAUGGUGAGCUGCAACUCUGCAGACCUUAACAAACUGGGCUUGGAUCCACCAGUUGACCUGAGUAGCUGAAGGACCGGGCUUCUGGAAGAACAACAGGUCUGGGUCCCCUUGGACAUGUAUUACCAAAGGGGCUUAAGAGUAUGGUCAGUAGAGUCCAGGACAAAGAAGGCACCACCACUGCCAGCUCGUCAUGGAAAUGUGGGCAGCAGCCACAGCCUUCUGGGUGAGCUUCUGCAAAAUAUUUACUUUCAUUGUUCUUCUCCCUUUUGCCUUUAAAUUGCCUCUUAGGGAUGAUGUGAAGAUAAACAUGAAACAGGUUGUAAAAUGAUAUUUUGAUCAUGAGUGGAAUAAAAGACAGAAUCUUCUCUUCUA